rnacentral:rRNA from 1 species
AUUGAACGCUGGCGGCAGGCCUAACACAUGCAAGUCGAACGAGUGGCGGACGGGUGUGUAAUGUCUGGGAAACUGCCCGAUGGAGGGGGAUAACUACUGGAAACGGUAGCUAAUACCGCAUACCAUCGGAUGUGCCCAGAUGGGCUUAGCUAGUCGGGGGGGUAACGGAUCACCCUGGCGACGACCCCUAGCUGGUCUGAGAGGUUGACCAGCCACACUGGAACUGAGACACGGUCCAGACUCCUACGGGAGGCAGCAGUGGGGAAUAUUGCACAAUGGGCGCAAGCCUGAGGCAGCCAUGCCGCGUGUAUGAAGAAGGCCUUCGGGUUGUAAAGUGCGUUCAGCGAGGAGGCGUUACUCGCAGAAGAAGCACCGGCUAACUCCGUGCCAGCAGCCGCGGUAAUAC